rnacentral:rRNA from 1 species
GGAGGGCGCAAGCGUUGUUCGGAAUUACUGGGCGUAAAGAGCGUGUAGGCGGUCGGGUAAGUUGGAUAUGAAAUCCCCGGGCUCAACUCGGGAACUGCAUCCGAAACUGCUCGGCUAGAGUCCCGGAGAGGAAGGCAGAAUUCCCAGUGUAGGGGUGAAAUCCGUAGAUACUGGGAGGAAUACCAGAGGCGAAGGCGGCCUUCUGGACGGUGACUGACGCUGAGACGCGAAAGCGUGGGGAGCAAACAGGAUUAGAUACCCUGGUAGUCCACGCCGUAAACGGUGCGCACUAGGCGUCGGGGGAUUUACCCCCUCUCGGUGCCGCAGCUAACGCGCUAAGUGCGCCGCCUGGGGAGUACGGCCGCAAGGCUA